rnacentral:rRNA from 1 species
UGGAUUACGUUUCUUAGUGGCGGACGGGUGAGUAACGCGUGAGGAACCUGCCUUGGAGUGGGGAAUAACACAGUGAAAAUUGUGCUAAUACCGCAUGAAGCAGUUGGGUCGCAUGGCUCUGACUGCCAAAGAUUUAUCGCUCUGAGAUGGCCUCGCGUCUGAUUAGCUAGUUGGUGGGGCAACGGCCCACCAAGGCGACGAUCAGUAGCCGGACUGAGAGGUUGAACGGCCACAUUGGAACUGAGAUACGGUCCAGACUCC